AGUUUUUGUGUUGGAACCACUGACCUCUGCUAAUAAAAGUACGCUGGACUUACGAUUGCUGACCUGUUUUUGAAACAACUUUAUUUUCGCCACUUUAGCGCUGAUAGCAGCAAUGAGCGUCAUGCG